rnacentral:tRNA from 1 species
GCCCAACUAGCUCAGUUGGUAGAGCAUGAGACUCUUAAUCUCAGGGUCGUGGGUUUGAGCCCCACAUUGGGUG